rnacentral:rRNA from 1 species
AGAGUUUGAUCCUGGCUCAGGAUGAACGCUAGCGGCAGGCAUAAUACAUGCAAGUUGAACGGGAUUCAGAUAGCAAUAUUUGAUGAGAGUGGCGCACGGGUGCGUAACACGUAUGCAACUUACCUUAAACUGGGGGAUAGCCCGUGGAAACAUGGAUUAAUACCCCAUAGUAUAUAGAACAGGCAUCUGUUUUAUAUUAAAGCUCCGGCGGUUUAAGAUGGGCAUGCGCGUCAUUAGCUAGAUGGGGAGGUAACGGCUCACCAUGGCAACGAUGACUAGGGGGUCUGAGAGGAUUUCCCCCCACACUGGUACUGAGACACGGACCAGACUCCUACGGGAGGCAGCAGUAGGGAAUAUUGGGCAAUGGACGCAAGUCUGACCCAGCCAUGCCGCGUGCAGGAAGACUGCCCUAUGGGUUGUAAACUGCUUUUAUCAGGGAAGAAACCCUUCUACGUGUAGGAGGCUGACGGUACCUGAGGAAUAAGGAUCGGCUAACUCCGUGCCAGCAGCCGCGGUAAUACGGAGGAUCCAAGCGUUGUCCGGAUUUAUUGGGUUUAAAGGGUGCGUAGGCGGACUGAUAAGUCAGGGGUGAAAGCCGGUAGCUCAACUAUCGAAUUGCCUUUGAAACUGCCAGUCUUGAGUUUUGUUGAGGUAGGCGGAAUGUAUCAUGUAGCGGUGAAAUGCAUAGAUAUGAUACAGAACACCGAUUGCGAAGGCAGCUUACUAAGCAAAUACUGACGCUGAGGCACGAAAGCGUGGGGAUCAAACAGGAUUAGAUACCCUGGUAGUCCACGCCGUAAACGUUGAAUACUUGCUGUUAGCGAUAUACUGUUAGCGGCUCAGCGAAAGCGUUAAGUAUUCCACCUGGGGAGUACGCUCGCAAGAGUGAAACUCAAAGGAAUUGACGG